AAGCGGGGAUACUCCUAUAAGACGAAAAGACCCCAUGGAGCUUCAAACCCAACUACACCCUUAACUACCACAACCGCACAACCUCUUAGGGCCCUGUAUAGUUGGUUUUAGGUUGGGGCGACCACGGAGUACAACCAAACCUCCGCAAUGGACGGGACCACUCCCUUAUCUAAGAGCCACACCUCUAAGAAUUAAAACACUAACAUAAAAUGAUCCAUGAUCUGAUCAAUGAACCAAGUUACCCUGGGGAUAACAGCGCAAUCCAUUUCAAGAGCCCUUAUCGACAAGUGGGUUUACGACCUCNAUGUUGGAUCAGGGUAUCCUAGUGGUGCAGCAGCUACUAAUGGUUCGUUUGUUCAACGAUUAAAACCCU
rnacentral:rRNA from 1 species